rnacentral:rRNA from 1 species
UACGUAGGGGGCAAGCGUUGUCCGGAAUUAUUGGGCGUAAAGCGCGCGCAGGCGGACUUUUAAGUCUGAUGUGAAAUCUCGCGGCUCAACCGCGAGCGGUCAUUGGAAACUGGGAGACUUGAGUGUAGGAGAGGAAAGUGGAAUUCCACGUGUAGCGGUGAAAUGCGUAGAGAUGUGGAGGAACACCAGUGGCGAAGGCGACUUUCUGGCCUACAACUGACGCUGAGGCGCGAAAGCGUGGGGAGCAAACAGG